GUGCAUUUCCUGCCAAUUGAGGUCCAGCAGAGAGACCACCUUGAAGUCCAUUUGCCUGAGGAGGUUGCUCAACUCGUGGACGUCCGCCAUGGGAGCGCACAGUUGAGUGCGGUAGCGGUAGUUCAAGUUGCCGAUCAGGAGAGCCACCUUGUCUGUGGC